CAUUGAGUCGUUGACAAUCGCUUCUCAACUUCUGAUAAUGUAGACCUCGCUUAUGAUUUAUGUGAAUAACUGAAUAUCUUGGCUGGUAAAGGAACUACGUAAACUUCAUCGUUAUCAAAGAUCAUGAGACAUUUGAAAUAAUAUAUCGAGAAUACGAGUUAAAAAGUGAAGAAUAUAUCAUCAAGUUGGUCAUGUUUGGAAGCACCUUUUAAAUCUGACUUCGCGUGGUUUGACACAACUGAGCAAAAGUGGCCGGGAUACCAUGGGAGGAAAAGGAAAGUCAAAACUUCAUUCGAGCGGAGUAUGUCACUAGGG
rnacentral:misc_RNA from 1 species